UGCGAGCGUAGUUCAACGGUAGAACAUGUCUAUCCAAGGUAGAGUCCCCGCUCUUAACAACUUCCAAUGCAGGUUCGACUCCUGCCGCUCGCAU
rnacentral:tRNA from 1 species